GGGUGGCCAGGGGGAGACACUGCCCUGUCUGGGGCCUGGAUUCACUAGGUCAUCACCAAUGCAGGGGGUCCUGGCUCACUGGACUUUGCUACUAGAGAAGGUUGGGGAGCUCCACAUGAAGGCAAGAAGGCUGGGGCUCAGGGUGUAACUCAUCCCCGGAGAGCAACCAGAAAGGCCGUCGGAUUGCAAUGCAGCCUGCAUUGUCCUCGCUGAACGCCUGGUCCUGUCCCACCUGCACCGGACAACAACUGCUUCCCCUCCAGGGCGGCCCCCAUCGUCCCCCAGGUGCUGCAAGAGCAGUGAGACUUUCCCAAGACAAGUCAGAGGCUUUGGAGCUCUCGGGGGCGGUGGCUUCUCCCAGGAGCCCCGUAUCUGUCAGUCCCCCCAUAAGGGGAGGGGAGUUGGCAAGGCUCCUCCUUGCUCCCAGCGUGAGGAUUGCCCCUACUUUUCCGGCCCCCACUUGCCCCCUCCACCUGCGCUUUUCCCUCCGGGAAGCCCUGGAGGUUUUCCAAGAACUCUGCGGGUCGAGGGGGCAGCCUAUGUGGGGUGGCAGGGGGCCUCCUGCUUGUUGGAUGCCCAGACGCCUACACCUUUCACCCUGGGGUCCAGUCGGCUGAUGGCCAUGAGAGAGAAGCUGAGAGCAACCAGAGCCCACAGCUCCACGCUGGUCCCCCAUCUGCAAACGCUGGGCCCCAUGGGAGCUGUGACUCAGUUUCCAGCUCGUCACAGGGCUGGCCGAGGCCCCGGCAUGUCAAGCCAUCUCAGGUUGGGCAGGAAUGUGGUCCGUGUUCACAUGUGUCUCUGUGUGUGUGAGACAGAGGGGUCAGCUGGGACGCUGGGGUGGCAGGGACAGUCCCGGCUCACCCCUCAUCCUCCCUCGACCUCGACUCCCUCCACAUGAGGAGCCCCCCCUUCCUGGCUAUCCCGUGAGUUGAGCUUCCUCUGCUGGGAGGGCUUUGUCAGAGGUUCCCUGCGGUUCCAGAAGGAAAGCUGGCUGCAGGGAGGGCCGGGCACUGGACACCGUGUGGCUGAGCCCGUGGCGGGGGCUGCACAGCUGGGUUCCCAGCCCCCCUCCUUGUCCCCACCCCACCGCACUGGGAGGCCCUGCUGAGGGGCCAGAGUCCGGCUGCAGGUCCCACGGGUGGGGGUGGGGCCCCUCAUUAGCACUGCAGCUGACACUGAGGGCUUCCACCUCGCUAAUUGAUUAAACUGUUUAGAAACCAGGCCGGCGUGGUGGGAAUUGGCCCCGGCCGGGCCGUCCGCUCCCCUUCUGUGCAGGCAGCGGCCCCCGGAGUUCAUCAGUCAGGCCGGUUGGUGGGGUCCUGGCCCUGGCUGCCCUCGGGAACCCUUCUUUGCUCCUUUGUGCGGUCAAAAUGGUGAGGGUCCUGAGAGGAGCUGGUGAGACCCCGGGGUCCUCUCCUCCCUGACCACUCACUGGGCGAGCAUGGAGGGAGGCCUACUGUGCACGGGCAUGUUCCUGGGAACCUGCCUGCUGGGAUUAAACCCGCCCUUGUGAAGGACGGCAGGUGGGUCACUCAAUACCGGGAGGGGCACGGGGCUGUGAGCAGAGGCCCGACCCGAGAGCCUUCUGAGGCGGCACUGGGUGCUCCUGGGCCCUGCUCUCCUGGGAUUUGUUGUGCCUGUGACCUCAGCCUCUUCCUUCCUCUCCCGUGGGAUUCCCCCAACACCCCCUCCCCUCCUGCCGUUCCUUCCCCCACCAGGCCCCAUGCCUCCCCUCCCCAGUGUCCCCUACCCCCAGGUCUUCCCUCUAGGACAUCAGCCUGGGCUGUGGGUCUUGGUCUCCCACUGAGACUGAGUCCUGGGAGAAGGGCAGAGCCUUGGUUCCCAGUGCAGCCCCUGUGCCAGCCUGCAGUGGGCGCUGGUUCAGCCGGUGCACACUGGGUCCUGCCCCCACCUGAGGAGCGGCCUGGGGCCUGGUCAGCCCUGCUGGUGUCUGGCCUGCAGCCAGCACCGGCUCUGCUAUUCACACUUGGUUACAGCACUGCUGAGCUGGACUAAAAUGCCCAACAAGGAACUUUACUAAAAACUGAGGCAAGAAAGAAAACACACAUGACAUAAAAAUAGUCAAGGGCACAUU